GACGAACGCUGGCGGCGUGCUUAACACAUGCAAGUCGAACGGUGAAGCGCCUUCCUUUUUGGUGGGUGUGGAUGAGUGGCGAACGGGUGAGUAACACGUGAGUAACCUGCCCCCUUCUUCUGGAUAACCGCAUGAAAGUGUGGCUAAUACGGGAUAUUCUGGGUCUGUCGCAUGAUGGGUCUGGGAAAGAUAUUGUUUCGGUGGGGGAUGGGCUCGCGGCCUAUCAGCUUGUUGGUGGGGUGAUGGCCUACCAAGGCGGUGACGGGUAGCCGGCCUGAGAGGGUGGACGGUCACACUGGGACUGAGACACGGCCCAGACUCCUACGGGAGGCAGCAGUGGGGAAUAUUGCACAAUGGGCGCAAGCCUGAUGCAGCGACUCCGCGUGAGGGAUGGAGGCCUUCGGGUUGUGAACCUCUUUCGCCAGUGAAGCAGGCCUGCCUCGUUUGUGGGUGGGUUGACGGUAGCUGGAUAAGAAGCGCCGGCUAACUACGUG
rnacentral:rRNA from 1 species